CAAUCAGGCUUCAAGGAUGAGUAAAUUUCCUCCCACAUGAGAGCUUAGGAGGCAAAGAAGAGACUGGCACAGAAAGAUGUUGAGGAUUGGAUGUGGAUUCUGGACCCUGGUUACUUCCCUCUUGGAGGAUUUGGAGGAUUUCUGGACCUCUUGGAGUUCUCUACCCUAAUCGGCUCAACCUGGCACAAUUAACCCUUCAGUCCUUCCUUCAGUGUCUCCGGUUAAUCCGUGCUUACUGCCUCCUGGUGGAAAUUCAAAAUCUGGAUAACUACAUUCCUGCCGACGAGCCGACUGCCACAGACCAAAUUCAACAACCCUGAGACACCUUCUUAUAUUCAAUAAAAUCUUAUUCAUCCG